rnacentral:rRNA from 1 species
UACGGGGGGGGCAAGCGUUGUUCGGAUUUACUGGGCGUAAAGGGCGCGUAGGCGGUCAGCACAAGUCAGUUGUGAAAUCUCCGGGCUUAACCCGGAAAGGUCAGCCGAUACUGCAGGGCUAGAGUGCAGAAGGGGCAACUGGAAUUCUCGGUGUAGCGGUGAAAUGCGUAGAUAUCGAGAGGAACACCUGCGGCGAAGGCGGGUUGCUGGGCUGACACUGACGCUGACAGCGCGAAAGCUAGGGGAGCGAACGGG